UACGUAGGGCGCAAGCGUUAUCCGGAAUUAUUGGGCGUAAAGAGCUCGUAGGCGGUCUGUCGCGUCGAUCGUGAAAACUUGGGGCUUAACCCUGAGCUUGCGGUCGAUACGGGCAUGACUGGAGUUCGGCAGGGGAGACUGGAAUUCCUGGUGUAGCGGUGAAAUGCGCAGAUAUCAGGAGGAACACCAAUGGCGAAGGCAGCUCGCUGGAACGGUACUGACGCUGAGGCGCGAAAGCGUGGGGAGCGAACAGG
rnacentral:rRNA from 1 species